rnacentral:rRNA from 1 species
CCUACGGGUGGCAGCAGUGAGGAAUAUUGGUCAAUGGGCGCGAGCCUGAACCAGCCAAGUAGCGUGAAGGAUGACUGCCCUACGGGUUGUAAACUUCUUUUAUAAAGGAAUAAAGUGAGGCACGUGUGCCUUUUUGUAUGUACUUUAUGAAUAAGGAUCGGCUAACUCCGUGCCAGCAGCCGCGGUAAUACGGAGGAUGCGAGCGUUAUCCGGAUUUAUUGGGUUUAAAGGGUGCGUAGGCGGACAGUCAAGUCAGCGGUAAAAAUGCGGUGCUCAACGCCGUACAGCCGUUGAAACUGGCAGUCUUGAGUGGGCGAGAAGUAUGCGGAAUGCGUGGUGUAGCGGUGAAAUGCAUAGAUAUCACGCAGAACUCCGAUUGCGAAGGCAGCAUACCGGCGCCCGACUGACGCUGAGGCACGAAAGCGUGGGUAUCGAACAGGAUUAGAUACCCUAGUAGUC